UACGGGGGGGGCAAGCGUUAUUCGGAAUCACUGGGCUUAAAGGGCGCGUAGGCGGGCGACCAAGUCAGGGGUGAAAUCGUUCGGCCCAACCGGACAAGGGCCCCUGAUACUGGUUGUCUCGAGGGAGGUAGGGGUCGAUGGAACUUCCGGUGGAGCGGUGAAAUGCGUAGAUAUCGGAAGGAACGCCGGUGGCGAAAGCGAUCGACUGGACCUCUUCUGACGCUGAGGCGCGAAAGCCAGGGGAGCAAACGGG
rnacentral:rRNA from 1 species